AUACGUAGGGUGCAAGCGUUAAUCGGAAUUACUGGGCGUAAAGCGUGCGCAGGCGGUUUUGUAAGACAGAGGUGAAAUCCCCGGGCUCAACCUGGGAACUGCCUUUGUGACUGCAAGGCCAGAGUACGGCCGAGGGGGGUGGAAUUCCGCGGGUAGCAGUGAAAUGCGUAGAUAUGCGGAGGAACACCGAUGGCGAAGGCAAUCCCCUGGGCCUGUACUGACGCUCAUGCACGAAAGCGUGGGAGCAAACAGGAUUAGAUACCCUGGUAGUCCACGCCCUAAACGAUGUCAACUGGUUGUUGGGUCUUCAUUGACUCAGUAACGAAGCUAACGCGUGAAGUUGACCGCCUGGGGAGUACGGCCGCAAGGUUGAAACUCAAAUGAAUUGGCGGGG
rnacentral:rRNA from 1 species